GACAGAGGGUGCAAACGUUGCUCGGAAUCACUGGGCGUAAAGGGCGUGUAGGCGGGACGGUAAGUCGGGCGUGAAAUCCCUAGGCUCAACCUAGGAACUGCACUCGAAACUACCAUUCUUGAGUGUCGGAGAGGAAAGCGGAAUUCCUGGUGUAGAGGUGAAAUUCGUAGAUAUCAGGAGGAACACCUAUUGCGAAGGCAGCUCGCUGGGACGUUACUGACGCUGAGACGCGAAAGCGUGGGGAGCAAACAGG
rnacentral:rRNA from 1 species